AAGUCGUAACUAGGUUUCCGUAAGUGAACCUGCGGAAGGAUCAUCCCCCGUGAACAUUCAAUCCUGCUCUUGUAACCCGCGUAGUUCGCAAUCUCUGGUAAAUCAUAGCCCGAAAAGUAGUUUUGAUUCAGAGACCUCUGGCUGAGAACAUUGGAACAAGCAGUCUGAAAGUGUCACUGAUUGUGCAAGGAUAGCGCUUCAACGAUUCCUGUAGAUCGUGCACUCGGGCAGGAGCUAUGCCAUGCCCCCUUAUAACCCUACAGUUUAAUGUGAAGCUCAAUGUAAUACAUUGGGUAAAAAAACCGAACAACUGUUAACAAUGGAUAUCUUGGUUCCGCAUCGAUGAACGCAGC
rnacentral:misc_RNA from 1 species